GUUAAUCUUCCAGAUGAUUGUGUCAUUGACAGAAUUCUCCAAUCACUGCCACCAAGCUACAAGAGUUUCGUGAUGAACUAUAAUAUGCAAGGAAUGAAUAAGACUAUUCCCGAGCUCUUCGCAAUGCUGAAAGCUGCGGAGGUAGAAAUCAAGAAGGAGCAUCAAGUGUUGAUGGUCAACAAGACCACUAGUUUCAAGAAAAAGGGCAAAGGGAAGAAGAAGGGGAACUUCAAAAAGAACAGCAAGCAAGUUGCUACUCAAGAGAAGAAACCCAAACCUGGACCUAAGCCUGAAACUGAGUGCUUCUACUGCAAGCAGACUGGUCACUGGAAGCAGAACUGCCCCAAGUAUUUGGCGGAUAAGAAGGAUGGCAAGGUGAACAAA
rnacentral:rRNA from 1 species